AGUGAACGCUGGCGGUAGGCCUAACACAUGCAAGUCGAACGGCAGCACAGUAAGAGCUUGCCCUUACGGUUGGCGAGUGGCGGACGGGUGAGGAAUACAUCGGAAUCUACUUUUUCGUGGGGGAUAACGUAGGUAAACUUACGCUAAUACCUCAUACGACCUUCGGGUGAAAGCAUGGGAUCUUCGGACCUUGCGCGAUUGAUUGAGCCGAUGUCGGAUUAGCUAGUUGGCGGGGUAAAGUCCCACCAAGGCGACGAUCCGUAGCUGGUCUGAGAGGAUGAUCAGCAACACUGGAACUGAGACACGGACAAGACUCCUACGGGAGGCAGCAGUGGGGAAUAUUGGACAAUGGGCGCAAGCAUGAUCCAGCCAUACCGCGUGGGUGAAGAAGGCCUUCGGGUUGUAAAGCACUUUUGUUGGGAAAGAAAAGCAGCAGGUUAAUACCCCGCUGUUCUGACGGUAACAAAAGAAUAAGCACCGGCUAACUUCGUG
rnacentral:rRNA from 1 species